rnacentral:rRNA from 1 species
AUGAACGCUAGCGGCAGGCCUAAUACAUGCAAGUCGAGGGGUAAGAGUCAGCUUGCUGACUACACGACCGGCGCACGGGUGCGUAACGCGUAUGCAACCUACCUUUAACAGAGGAAUAGCCCCGAGAAAUCGGGAUUAAUACCACAUAACAUUAUGAUAUGGCAUCAUAUUAUAAUUAAAACUCCGGUGGUUAAAGAUGGGCAUGCGUGACAUUAGCUAGUUGGUGAGGUAACUGCUCACCAAGGCUACGAUGUCUAGGGGUUCUGAGAGGAUGAUCCCCCACACUGGUACUGAGACACGGACCAGACUCCUACGGGAGGCAGCAGUAAGGAAUAUUGCGCAAUGGAGGCAACUCUGACGCAGCCAUGCCGCGUGCAGGAUUGAAGGCCUUAUGGGUCGUAAACUGCUUUUAUUUAGGAAUAAACUUUCGUACGUGUACGAAACUGAAGGUACUAAACGAAUAAGCACCGGCUAACUCCGUGCCAGCAGCCGCGGUAAUACGGAGGGUGCAAGCGUUAUCCGGAUUUAUUGGGUUUAAAGGGUGCGCAGGCGGACCAAUUAGUCAGUGGUGAAAUCCCGAGGCUCAACCUCGGAACUGCCAUUGAUACUGUUGGUCUUGAAUACGGUUGAAGUAGGCGGAAUGUAGCAUGUAGCGGUGAAAUGCAUAGAGAUGCUACAGAACACCGAUCGCGAAAGGCAGCUUACUAAACCGAUAUUGACGCUCAGGCACGAAAGCGUGGGGAGCGAACAGGAUUAGAUACCCUGGUAGUCCACGCCGUAAACUAUGAUCACUCGUUGUUGGCAAUACACAGUCAGUGACCAAGCGAAAGCGAUAAGUGAUCCACCUGGGGAGUACGAUCGCAAGGUUGAAACUCAAAGGAAUUGACGGGGGCCCGCACAAGCGGUGGAGCAUGUGGUUUAAUUCGAUGGUACGCGAGGAACCUUACCUGGGCUCAAAUGUAAGUUGACAGUUUCUGAAAGGGAAUUUUCUUCGGACAAUUUACAAGGUGCUGCAUGGUUGUCGUCAGCUCGUGCCGUGAGGUGUCGGGUUAAGUCCCAUAACGAGCGCAACCCCUACUCUUAGUUGCCAUCAGAUAAUGCUGGGGACUCUAGGAGAACUGCCUACGCAAGUAGAGAGGAAGGUGGGGAUGACGUCAAAUCAGCACGGCCCUUACGUCCAGGGCUACACACGUGCUACAAUGGCCGGUACAGAGGGCAGCCACCUGGUGACAGGGAGCGAAUCUCUAAAGCCGGUCUCAGUUCGGAUCGAAGUCUGCAACCCGACUUCGUGAAGCUGGAAUCGCUAGUAAUCGCGCAUCAGCCAUGGCGCGGUGAAUACGUUCCCGGGCCUUGUACACACCGCC